AUGACAGCAUUUGUGCUAAAAGCAUGUACAGAUGUGGAGCCCACUAUUACUACUACCAGCACGACCCCUACUGUUCAAAUAUCUGGAAAACCUACAGCUGCAAAAGAUGCCAGCGCUACUAAUGGAAAAGCAACAUUCUUUAUAUUGAAGUGUUGGGCUUUACUUCAUAAAUAACCAACCAGCAAGAUGCAUGCAUCUCGGUAGCAUACUUUUAUAGCUUAGGCUAAACCUUUCUGUUCUGGUCAUCCCCGUACCCACCAGCACGUACAUACUUUUCAGCUACUGAUUAAACGGUGAUCUUAAAAUA